rnacentral:rRNA from 1 species
UGGGGAAUCUUGCACAAUGGGCGAAAGCCUGAUGCAGCAACGCCGCGUGAGCGAAGAAGGCCUUUGGGUCGUAAAGCUCUGUCCUAAGGGAAGAAGGAAGUGACGGUACCUUAGGAGGAAGCCCCGGCUAACUACGUGCCAGCAGCCGCGGUAAUACGUAGGGGCAAGCGUUAUCCGGAAUUAUUGGGCGUAAAGAGUACGUAGGCGGUUCUUAAGCGCAGGGUAUAAGGCUAAGGCUUAACCAUAGUUCGCCCUGUGAACUGGAGGACUUGAGUAUCGGAGAGGAAAGCGGAAUUCCUAGUGUAGCGGUGAAAUGCGUAGAUAUUAGGAGGAACACCAGUGGCGAAGGCGGCUUUCUGGACGAAAACUGACGCUGAGGUACGAAAGCGUGGGGAGCAAACAGGAUUAGAUACC